CGGACGGCCAUCAGGAGUGACUGUCAGUGAUCUCAAGAGUUUUCUCUCUACACUGGAUUGAUCAGAGUUUACUGCAGUAAAAGCGUCAGGAGACACAUGGCAAGACAUCUGAAGGGCUCCUUACUGGUUGUCUUUCCUCUCUGACAUCACGGGUGUGUUACUGGGCAACUCUUACACGUUCAAGCGGUUCCCCAUACACUUCUACAACAGCAGAUUCAGAGUGAGACAGAGAGAGAUGCCCCCUGAACAUCACACGCCUCCCCCCUCAGCCCUCCACUGACACGUCUAAGAUUUCUGGCACCAAAACAACGUCACGCUUCCUAUUUCAGGCACAGGUGCAACAUUU